AUAAACUUGUAUCAAUAGAAAUAAUUGUUUUAUGACAAAAUAAAAGAUCAUAACUAUUUGAAAUAAAUACUUGUUCAUCCAGUCAUAACUAUUUGAACUUGCUUAGUAAAUAGAUUUAUUUUUUUAAAAUCUUUUACUUAUUAAUUUUUGGAAUAUGAAUAAACUAGCAUUAUUUUAUUUCAAAUACACAUGUUUGAACAGAAACAAUUGGUUUAUGACAAAACAAAAUGUCAUAAUUAUUUGAAAUAAAUAAUUAUUUAACUAAUAAUAACUAUUUGAAUGUGUUUUAUGACAAAAUAUCUUAACUAUUUGAGCUAGUUUGGCAAACACAUUUAUUUUUUAAAUCUCUUACUUAUUAAUUUUUGAAAUAUUAUUAAAUUAGCAUUAUUUUUAUCUAAAUAAGCUAGUACGAAAAGAAACAAUUUUUUAUGACAAAAUAAAAAGCAUAAUGAUUUAAGAUAGAUAAUUAUUCAAAUAGUCAUAACUAUUUGAACUAUUUUAGUAAAUAGAUUUAGUUUUUAAAUCUCUUAUUAAUUUUCAAAAUAUUAGUAGAUUAGUAUUAUUUUAUUUUGAAUAAUUUUGCAAGAACAGAAACAAUUAUUUUAUGACAAAACAAAAGAUCAUAAUGAUUUGAAGCAGAUAAUUAUUCAAAUGGACAUGAUUAUUUGAACUUGUUCAAUAAGCAAUUUUAUUUUUUAAAUCUCCUACCUAUUAAUUUUUAGAAUAUUAAUAAAUUAGUAUUAUUUUAUUUUGAAUAAACUUAUGUGAAUAGAACAAUUGCUUUUUGACAAACAAAAGAUCUUAACUAUUUGAAAUAAUGAUUGUUCAAAUAGUUAUAACUAUUUGAACUUACGGUAAAAAAUUUAUUUUUUAAAUCUUUUACUUAUUAAUUUUUGGAAUAUUAAUAAAAUAGUAUUAUUUUAUUUCAAAUACGCUUGUAUGAACAAAAACAAUUGGUUUAUGAUAAAACAAAAGGUCAUGACUAUUUGAAAUAGAUAAUUGUUCAAAUAGUCAUAACUAUUUGAAUGUGUUCAAAAAUAGAUUAUUUUUUUAAAUUUUACUUAUUAAUUUUUGGAAUAUUAAUAAAUUAUAUUUAUUUUUUAUUCAAUAUAAGCUUGUAUGAACAAAAACAAUUAUUUUAUGACAAAACAAAAGGUCAUAAUGAUUUGAAAUAGAUAAAUUUUCAAAUAGUCAUAACUAUUUGAACUUGUUCAGUAAAUAAAUUCAUUUUUUAAAUCUCUUUCUCAUUAAUUUUAGAGUAUUAAUAAAUUAGUAUUAUUUUAUUUUAAAUAAGCCUGAUUUCUGCCCAGUGCUCUGAAUGUCAAAGUGAAGAAAUUCAACCAAGCACGGGUAAACGGCGAGAGAAACUAUGACUCUCUUAAGGUAGCCAAAUGCCUCGUCAUAUAAUUAGUGACGCACAUGAAUGGAUUAACGAGAUUCCCACAGUCCCUGUCUACUAUCCAGUGAAACCAUAGCCAAGGGAACGGGCUUGGCGGAAUUAGCAGGGAAAGAAGACCCUGUUGAGCUUAACUCUAAUCUGACUUUGUGAAAUGACUUGAGAGGAGUAGGAUAAGUGGGAGCCCUCGGGCGAAAUUGAAAUACCACUACAUUUAACAUUAUUUUACUUAUUUCAUGAAUCGGAGGUAGGGCACGACCCUUUCUUUUAGACCCAAGGUUAGCCUCAAUCGGUCGAUUCGGGUGAAAGACAUUGUCAGGUAGGGAGUUUAGCUGGGGUGGCACAUCUGUUAAAAGAUAACACAGGUGCCCUAAGAUGAGCUCAAUGAGAACAAAAGUCUCGUGUGGAAUAAAAGGGUAAAAGCUCGUUUCAUUCUGAUUUCCAAUACAAAUACGAACCAUGAAAGCGUGGCCUAUCGAUCCUUUAGACCUUCGGGAUUUAAAGCUAGAGGUGUCAAAAAAGUUACCAUAGGGAUAACUAGCUUGUGGUAGCCAAGCAUUCAUAGCGACGUUGCUUUUUGAUCCUUUGAUGUCGAUUUUUCCUAUCAUGAUGAAGCAAAAUUCACCAAGUGUUAGAUUGUUCACCCACCAAUAGAGAACGUGAGCUGGGUUUAGACCAUCGUGUGACAGGUUAGUUUUACCCUACUGAUGGUGACAUCACGAUUGUAAUUCAACCUAGUACGAGAAGAACCGUUGAUUCGUAUAAUUGGUCAUCGUGCUUAGUUAAAAAGCCAGUGGCAUGAAGCUAUCGUGUGUUGGAUUAUGACUGAACGCCUCUAAGUCAAAAUCUGGUUUAGAUGCGGUGCACAAGCCCAUCGCCUGAUUGUUAACCCGCAGUAAGGGCCCAUGGCCCCUAAGGGCAAGUGUCGUAGGUGUAGCCCCCAAGACGGACGAGUCGUGCAAGCUUCCUUGGAGCUCAAUUCCCAUCGAG
rnacentral:rRNA from 1 species